UACGGGGGGGGUAAGCGUUGUUCGGAAUUACUGGGCGUAAAGGGCUCGUAGGCGGCCAACUAAGUCAGACGUGAAAUCCCUCAGCUUAACUGGGGAACUGCGUCUGAUACUGGAUGGCUUGGAUUCGGGAGAGGAAUGCGGAAUUCCAGGUGUAGCGGUGAAAUGCGUAGAUAUUCGCAAGAACACCAGUGGCGAAGGCGGCUCACUGGCCCGAUACUGACGCUGAGGCACGAAAGCGUGGGGAGCAAACAGG
rnacentral:rRNA from 1 species